UACGAAGGGGGCUAGCGUUGCUCGGAAUCACUGGGCGUAAAGCGCACGUAGGCGGGUCCUUAAGUGAGGGGUGAAAUCCCGGAGCUCAACUCCGGAACUGCCUUUGAUACUGGGGAUCUUGAGUCCGGAAGAGGUGAGUGGAACUCCGAGUGUAGAGGUGAAAUUCGUAGAUAUUCGGAAGAACACCAGUGGCGAAGGCGGCUCACUGGUCCGGUACUGACGCUGAGGUGCGAAAGCGUGGGGAGCAAACAGG
rnacentral:rRNA from 1 species